rnacentral:rRNA from 1 species
UACGUAGGGGGCUAGCGUUGUCCGGAUUUAUUGGGCGUAAAGAGCGUGUAGGCGGCCAUUUAGGUCCGGUGUGAAAACUCGAGGCUUAACCUCGAGAUGUCAUCGGAAACCAUUUGGCUAGAGUCCGGAAGAGGAGAGUGGAAUUCCUGGUGUAGCGGUGAAAUGCACAGAUAUCAGGAAGAACACCAAUGGCGAAAGCAGCUCUCUGGGACGGUACUGACGCUGAGACGCGAAAGCGUGGGGAGCGAACAGG